rnacentral:rRNA from 1 species
UACGGAAGGCAGCAGUGGGGAAUAUUGCACAAUGGGCGCAAGCCUGAUGCAGCCAUGCCGCGUGUAUGAAGAAGGCCUUCGGGUUGUAAAGUACUUUCAGUCGUGAGGAAGGUGUUAAGGUUAAUAACCUUAGCAAUUGACGUUAGCGACAGAAGAAGCACCGGCUAACUCCGUGCCAGCAGCCGCGGUAAUACGGAGGGUGCGAGCGUUAAUCGGAAUUACUGGGCGUAAAGGGCACGCAGGCGGUUAAUUAAGUUGGAUGUGAAAUCCCCGGGCUUAACCUGGGAAUGGCAUUCAAGACUGGUUAGCUAGAGUCUUGUAGAGGGGGUAGAAUUCCAUGUGUAGCGGUGAAAUGCGUAGAGAUGUGGAGGAAUACCGGUGGCGAAGGCGGCCCCUGGGACAAGACUGACGCUCAUGUGCGAAAGCGUGGGGAGCAAACGAGGAUUAGAUACC